rnacentral:rRNA from 1 species
AGCGAACGCUAGCGGCGGGCCUAACACAUGCAAGUCGAGCGGGGAGCAAUCCCAGCGGCGAACGGGUGAGUAACACGUAGGUAAUGUGCCUUUUGGUGGGGAAUAACCGUGGGAAACCAUGGCUAAUACCGCAUAUCGUGCUUCGGCAUGAAAGCUUCUGAGGCAACUCGGGGGCGCCAGUUGAGCAGCCUGCGUCCCAUUAUUUAGUCCUAGUUGGUAGGGUAAUGGCCUACCAAGGGUACGAUGGGUAGCUGGUCUGAGAGGAUGAUCAGCCACACUGGAACUGAGACACGGUCCAGACUCCUACGGGAGGCAGCAGUGGGGGAAUAUUGCGCAAUGGGGGAAACCCUGACGCAGCCACGCCGCGUGAGUGAUGAAGGCCUUC